rnacentral:misc_RNA from 1 species
UCAUGGGGCAAUUUGCGAGCUAGCCCAUUCAGUAUUUGGUGGAAAGCAUCUCCUGAUUGUGCAGGUUGUGGGAAUUGCAUUGCUCGUUUCAUUGAAGGAUUUGCAAGAAGCCUCUGCUUUCUUAAAAUCACAUCUGUUGGUAUAGAUGUUAGGAUUAUAUCCAAGUUAGGGACAUCUUCUUCUGCCACAAAUACUCCUAUGUCCUCCCAUGGGAUAGCAUCUGCAAAGGGUAAAACAAUGUCAUCUGCUAU